rnacentral:rRNA from 1 species
GAUGAACGCUGGCGGCGUGCCUAAUACAUGCAAGUCGAGCGGACGGACGAGAAGCUUGCUUCUCUGAUGUUAGCGGCGGACGGGUGAGUAACACGUGGAUAACCUACCUAUAAGACUGGGGUAACUUCGGGAAACCGGAGCUAAUACCGGAUAAUAUUUUGAACCGCAUGGUUCAAAAGUGAAAGACGGUCUUGCUGUCACUUAUAGAUGGAUCCGCGCUGCAUUAGCUAGUUGGUAAGGUAACGGCUUACCAAGGCAACGAUGCAUAGCCGACCUGAGAGGGUGAUCGGCCACACUGGAACUGAGACACGGUCCAGACUCCUACGGGAGGCAGCAGUAGGGAAUAUUCGGCAAUGGGCGAAAGCCUGACGGAGCAAUGCCGCGUGAGUGAUGAAGGUCUUCGGAUCGUAAAACUCUGUUAUUAGGGAAGAACAGCAGUGUAAGUAACUGUGGAUAUCUUGACGGUACCUAAACAGAAAGCCACGGCUAACUACGUG